CUUACACUCCCUUUGUCCGAAAAUACUUGUCAUUAAAAUGUAUAAAAAAAAUGUAUCUAAAACUAAAAUACGUUUAGAUAUAUCUCUUUUUAUUCAUUUUGAUGACAAGUAUUUUCGGACGAAGGAAGUAUUUA
rfam:Triticum aestivum genome assembly, contig: Triticum_aestivum_CS42_TGACv1_scaffold_030696_1BL